GGACGCAUGGUGUAGUUUGGAUAUCACUCCGGCCUUCUAAGCCGGAAACCCGGGUUCGAAUCCUGGUGCGUCCGCCA
rnacentral:tRNA from 3 species